GGACUCGUGGGGUAGUGGAUAUCCCCGGAGGCUUCGGACCUCCUGACCCGGGUUCAAUUCCCGGCGGGUCCG
rnacentral:tRNA from 1 species